rnacentral:rRNA from 1 species
UGCCAGCCGCCGCGGUAAUAGUGAAGGUGCAAGCGUUAAUCGGAAUCACUGGGCGUAAAGCGCUCGUAGGUGGCUUUGUCAGUCAGAGGUGAAAUCCCAGGGCUCAACCCUGGAACUGCCUUUGAUACUGCUAGUCUUGAGUUCGAGAGAGGUAAGUGGAAUUCCGAGUGUAGCGGUGAAAUGCGUAGAUAUCCGGAGGAACAUCAGUGGCGAAGGCGACUUCCUGGACCAAUACUGACGCUGAGGUGUGAAAGCGUGGGGAGCAAACAGGAUUAGAUA